AGAGCGAACGCUGGCGGCGUGCUUAACACAUGCAAGUCGAGUGCGCGCCUGUAGCAAUACAGGUGGCGCACGGCGCACGGGUGCGUAACACGUGGGCAAUCUGCCCUCGGAUGGGGGAUAACUCGUCGAAAGGCGAGCUAAUACCGCAUGACAUUCCUGGGACUCCGGUCCCGGGACUCAAAGGCCGCAAGGCCGUCUGAGGAGGAGCCCGCGCCCCGAUUAGCUAGUUGGUGAGGUAACGGCUCACCAAGGCUUUGAUCGGUA
rnacentral:rRNA from 1 species